rnacentral:lncRNA from 1 species
ACUUUCAGGACUGCAGGGGAAAGGGUGGACACCCAGCCUCCCGCCAGGAGGAUACAAAAAUACAUCAGUUUGCAAACCAGAAGAAGGUCCUCACCAGAAACCAACUAUGCUGGCACCCUGAUCUUGGACUUCUAGCCUCCAGAACUGUGAGAAAUAAAUGUGUGUUUAUAAACCAGUCAGUCAGUCUAUGGUGCUUUAUUAUAGCAUCUGGAACGAGCUAAGACAGCUGCUAAGUAGCAUUCCAUUUGACAAGGAAGACUUACCAUUCACACUACUUCUGAGUUCAAUGAAAGAGAGGCUCGAUUUCUUUUCCUGCCUGCACUUUCUUUGAGGUUGCAGUAGAGAGUGUGUGUCUACAGAAG